rnacentral:rRNA from 1 species
AUUUCUAAGACAACUAGGAUGUUGGCUUAGAAGCAGCCACUCAUUGAAAGAGUGCGUAAUAGCUCACUAGUCGAGAGAUCCUGCGCCGAAAAUGUAACGGGGCUAAACUUACCACCGAAGCUACGGGUUCACACAAUAGUGUGAGCGGUAGAGGAGCGUUGUAAUCGGGCUGAAGUCGUACCGUAAGGAGCGGUGGACUGAUUACAAGUGAGAAUGUUGGCAUCAGUAGCGAGAUGUAGGUGAGAAUCCUACAGGCCGAAUAUCUAAGGUUUCCUCAGGAAGGUUCGUCCGCUGAGGGUUAGUCGGGACCUAAGCCGAGGCCGAAAGGCGUAGGUGAUGGACAAUCGGUUGAUAUUCCGAUACCACUAUAAUCGUUAUUAUCGAUGGUGUGACGGAGAAGGAUAGGAUGUGCUAACUAUUGGAUGUUAGUCUAAGCGUUUAGGGAGUUAGAGUAGGCAAAUCCGCUUUAACAAUCCUGAGGCGUGAUGGGGAAGGUUCCACGGAACCGAAGUAUCUGAUUCCAUGCUUCCAAGAAAAGCAUCUAGAGAGAGAAGUAGUGCCCGUACCGCAAACCGACACAGGUAGAUGAGGAGAGAAUCCUAAGGCCGGCGGAAGAAUUGCAGUUAAGGAACUAGGCAAAUUGACCCCGUAACUUCGGGAGAAGGGGUGCCUACGAGAGUAGGUCGCAGAGAAUAGGCCCAAGCAACUGUUUAGCAAAAACACAGGUCUCUGCUAAAGCGAAAGCUGAUGUAUAGGGGCUGACGCCUGCCCGGUGCUGGAAGGUUAAGGGGAACACUUAGCGCAAGCGAAGGUGUGAACUUAAGCCCCAGUAAACGGCGGCCGUAACUAUAACGGUCCUAAGGUAGCGAAAUUCCUUGUCAGGUAAGUUCUGACCCGCACGAAUGGCGUAAUGACUUGGGCACUGUCUCAACUGCAAAUCCGGCGAAGUUGUAGUGCGAGUGAAGAUGCUCGCUACCCGCGAUUGGACGGAAAGACCCCGUAGAGCUUUACUGUAGCUUAGCAUUGAAUUUCGGUAUUAUCUGUACAGGAUAGGUGGGAGACUGGGAAAUUAGGACGUCAGUCCUAAUGGAGUCGUCCUUGGGAUACCACCCUGAUAUUACUGGAAUUCUAACUGGACGCCAUGAAUCUGGUGACAGGACAUUGUUAGGUGGGCAGUUUGACUGGGGCGGUCGCCUCCUAAAAAGUAACGGAGGCGCCCAAAGGUUCCCUCAGAACGGUCGGAAAUCGUUCGUAGAGUGCAAAGGCAGAAGGGAGCCUGACUGCGACACCCACAAGUGGAGCAGGGACGAAAGUCGGGCUUAGUGAUCCGGUGGUACCUCGUGGGAGGGCCAUCGCUCAACGGAUAAAAGCUACCUCGGGGAUAACAGGCUGAUCUCCCCCAAGAGUUCACAUCGACGGGGAGGUUUGGCACCUCGAUGUCGGCUCGUCGCAUCCUGGGGCUGAAGUAGGUCCCAAGGGUUGGGCUGUUCGCCCAUUAAAGCGGCACGCGAGCUGGGUUCAGAACGUCGUGAGACAGUUCGGUCCCUAUCCGUCGCGGGCGUAGGAAAUUUGAGAGGAGCUGUCCUUAGUACGAGAGGACCGGGAUGGACUGACCUCUGGUGUACCAGUUGUUCUGCCAAGAGCAUAGCUGGGUAGCUAAGUCGGGAAGGGAUAAACGCUGAAAGCAUCUAAGCGUGAAGCCCACCUCAAGAUGAGAUUUCCCAUAGCAUAAGCUAGUAAGACCCCUUGAAGAACACAAGGUUGAUAGGUCAGAGGUGUAAGCAUGGUAACAUGUUCAGCUGACUGAUACUAAUAGGUCGAGGGCUUGACCAA